CAAGGCACCAUCAGGCUACCUCUCAUUCCUGGAACUCUAGGCUCUGAAAGGCAUGGGGUCCUGCCAAGCAAAGCGCCUCAGUGAAUCCACUUAGGGUACCGACUAGAUGCUUGGAAUGUCACUAAACAUCCUGGAAUGGGAAAGAUGAACCCUUGCAGCGCCAGAUGAACUACCACUUAAAUGAGCCAUGCGUCUUUGGGAAGUUAUGGAGAUGAAAGUCCAUGCAGCGACAAUUCACCAUUAUGAAAACAUCUCUAACAUCCUUAGAGAAUGGCACCUUUGCUGAACCCCACAACCAGAGUUAAUAAUACACCUGAGGUCUCUUUAGACUUGACUGCUAUCCAACUCUGUACUCAGCCUGAUCAUUUAUCCUGCCUCUAAGAGGAACAUAUAGCAGCCAACCUUACUUGCCUUGGAUUUCCAACCUAAUCAACUUUUACAACCUAAGCUAACACAUAGCUGUAUCUUAAGUCCUGCACUGUCCCAUACCCCUGGCCCCCAACACAAUGCAUCUUGGUAUAUAUGUUAUGGUAAUAAAUACUGGAAACAGGAACAAAAGAAGUAAAAAGUGAAUAAAAAGGA